GGGAUAAAGAUUUUUUAAAACAUUAAUUUACCCAUAUAACAUUGUAUUUAUUGUUUUGUUUUUUUUAGAGCAAGUAAUCUUGAAGAAAUUAAACAACAACUGGUUAAACAACAACUGUUAGAGCAUUAUACUGUGUUAUUUCUUUAAAGGCUAAACUUGGUUAAUAUAAAAACAUCAAUGCAAUUGUGGUGCUAUUACUCUUCUUUGGAUAUUAAAUGUGUUAAUAUCUUCCAGGUAAGCAAGUCUUUAAGGUAAAAGCUUUAAAAGAGCAUUAUAUCAAGCUGGUGUUGUCCAAACUAAAGUUUUAUGGUAAAUUUAGGCUUAUAAGAAUAACAUAUUAAAGAUUUAUUUAUAUCAUUUAAUGUUCUAUAACUGGACUUGUUUUCAAUAAGAUAUAUAAAGUUUUAUGUAUUUUUAAGUUAAUGAGAGCCUCAUCUAUGUAAAAAUUAAUAUUGUAAAACACAAAAGCAUUUUGCUACUUUUCCACAAAUGUUUAAAAGCUCUCAAUCUUUUUUAAAUUCAUGUUUUAAAUGUAAUAUCAUACUGUGUUAGCUAAUAUUCAUGUGACCUUGAGCAACAAUAUAUGUACUUUAUAAUAUGAUAUUUAAAAAGCAAAGAUCAGCUUCAGAACUAGAACACUUUACUUAAGACUUAUAAAAAUUUAUGAAGUCCUGUCUUACCUGAGAUAAGGCUCUGCCUCCCAUCUUACUACAUGUCAAAAUGACUCCAAAGUAUGCCAGACUUCAGUUCAUUGAACAUUAUGUUCAAAAGAUUGAUUUUUGUUGUUAAGAUUACCAGGAUCUCAAAUGAGGGGUAUAAUGUAUAACUCAGUCAAAAUUCAAGAUAAUGAUUACACAAAGUAAAUGUGUUUUUACUCUUGUUCAUUUUAUUUUGUAUUUUCUUUAUAAAUGGUCUAAAUGUUGCCUGUUAAUGUUUUGCAGAGGUAUUGCUUUAAGAACACACAACCUGGGUUAAUUUAAGAUAAUAAGCCAUCACCUACAGGAUAGAUAGGAUAGUGUAGAACCCAAUUAAUAAAAAGGGUAAAUGAUUAUAAGGUUAUAGACGUUAAAGUUAAAGUCCAGUACUCUUAAUUUACAUCUAGUGAGACUGAUUUGCUAGAUGUUUAAGAUCAUGACUUAAAAAUUAAAGUUAAAUUAAAAGGGCCAAGAAAACCAAUAUUUGGCUCUUGCCCUUGGACUCAGUCUGAAUCAGGGAACAGGAAACUUCUCUAAAGGCUUUGCAACUCUGAGCCACAUAACCUCCUGAUCAGGGAGAUUAAUGAGACCCCUGGAGAACAGAAAGCCAAAAUCAAUCAGCGCACUUGCUAUGAAGGAGAAGAUCAUUGGAAAAGGGAGACAUCCCUGAUGCUUCCAGGGAAGCCCCAUGGUCAAGUAAGACCUGGACCAUCCUAGUGCAAAUGGCACUAGCAGAACUAAGAAGCUGCUCUCAAGUUCCCCCAAGAGUGAUAUUCAUUGGAAUUCAGCUGACUCUUAAAAAUAGAUAGAAACAAAAGUCAGUUUGACCUGCUUCAUCUUAAACACCUAGCAAAAACAGUUAAAACCAAAACACAGCCAUUCCUGGGCAUUUAAAAAAUAAUAAUUAAAUGUAACUUAAGAUAUGCAUUUGUGUUAGCCUCCCAAAAUAAGUAAGACUAGUUGCUACAAAAGAGAGAUUCUUAGGAAGGAAUGCCUAACAACUAUCAAGUGAAACUGCCAAGUCAGAAGUUUUUAGUCAGUUUAAGGGUACAGAUCUUCCUAAUCCACACAGGUAGGCCUGAUGUUCUCUAGUAUGAUUAUCUAGCCCUAAGUAACAGAAACAAUGGGUUCUUUACUAGACACAGAGAUCAUACCAGUAGAAAGGUUUUAUAAGAUGAGAUGACAUAAAGUAGCUUAAGUACAUUUUAUGGGGAUUGACAUUUGUAACAUUAAAAGUUAAAUGUUGUGUUUACAUUCCUGGUAACUCUGGGGAUAUUAAAGAUUUACAUUCCCAAAUAAAGGCUUUGUACACUCUGGCCUUAUUAUGGAAACAACUUCUCAGCCCUCACACCUCCUGGUAAGAGAUUAUUGACUGCUAUUAUCUUCAUGGUAUACAUUGACAUGUCCCAAAUGCUGCAACAUUUAUUGAGUACUCAUAUUUUUGUUUCUCUCUCAUAGAUGCACCCAUCCCCAGAUGACUUUACAACCCAUUCUUCCCCAACUGGACUGACCCUGACUUCUAAAAGGGAACUCCAAAGUUGCUUGCCCCACCUCAUAUUGUCCCCUCUCAGCUUUAAAGCAUCCAGAGCAGUAAUUUCCUAUUCUCCUUACAGCAAUAAGGAGUUCCUAAAAUUAGAGAGGGGAAUGAAACCAGAAUUAGAUGGGCAGUCAGCAUAAAUGGUUAAAGUGAGUCAGGUCUAAACAAGGAUGCCAAUUUUGAGUGAAUCCCCCUAAGUGGGAGACUGUCCCUUGAGGGACUGAAAUGUUAAUUUCUUCAGAGCCCUUCCUCCACCCUUAUCAAGAACCUGCCCCUGCUCCAACCUGUUGCUAAGGUAACUUGUCCCAGGAUUGGCCCAUCCCUACAGGAAGCUAUAAGGUUGUUAAUGUGUUGUUGGCUGCACCAUCCUGCCCUUCUGCCUUCAGCCUAUCUGUUUCCCAGCUUUUGGUCAUCCCACUGAGCAUUUUCUAGGGCUUCGUGUAUGCAGGAAGGAGAGAGAUAAGGUCAGAACAAAGAUAAGCUAGGACAUAUAAAAGGGCAGAACACCUCAUUUCUGGGGAUACCAGGAUACCAGCUAUGGCCCCCUUCUCCCUCCCAGGAGAAGUCUAU
rnacentral:lncRNA from 1 species